GGGUUCUCCAAGGUCUUCUUACGCCACCCCUCUCCCAGUGCACUGGCCUGUCCAGCUGUAGUCACUGUCCUCAGGCACGAAGGCUAAGGCGAGCUGCUGCCACUCCUGGGAGUGCGUUUGGAAGAAAUUCCCAGGAUCACUGGGGGUACUCACAGCUCUCCAGCUGCAUGGUGCACGUCUGGAUGUCCAUGGGAAAGUUCUUGAGAUCCAUGGGGCAGGAGAGGAUCAGCGUAAGCCUGAGAGGAGCAGAAAGAAUGGAGCAGGCCAAGUUGCAAGAUGAGGCACCACCACAGGACCAGAGUGACCACUGGCAGGGGAUGCUGGAGACGAAAAGGGUGCUAUACCAUGUCCAGCCAGGCCAGGGGGUACCUGCGGUAGCCAGAAUCUUCUCCUCUCCUGCCUUCCCUGCUCACCUCAUUUCUCCCUGCCCCGUGCAUACCUGAUGCUGUAGAGCACGUUGCCAUUCUUGAAGAUGCGCAGCAGCUUGUUGUCGGUGGUGACCUCGUGGAAGUUGGCCCCCUUC